GAGAGAGAGAGAGACAGAGAGAGAGAGAGAGAGAGAGAGAGUGAGAGAGGUGAGAUAAGCAGAGGAAAGGCAGAGGAAAGUGGGUGUUGCAUGCCAGCUUGCAAGACUGGCGACACAGGGUCUGGCGGGCAGCUGGGGACAUCACAGACCCCCACCUGCACAGAACCUGAGGCUCAGGAGAGAGGUAUGUGCAGAAGACGGGGCCAUGGGAGUUGUCCACACAGAGGGAGCAGAUGAGUACACGGGACAGAUGACAUCGGGUUGGGAAAACAGAAACCCAAGCAAGAAGACAGCUCCGCAGCUCCGAGCCUCGCGCCCGUCUCCCAAGUGGCCUGUGCUGUCUGGGCGUCCUCUCGGACUGGCUGUGGUUCCAGGACUGCCGCCAGGCGGGGGUUCUGCUUGGUUGCUGUACACACAGCCGUUGUUUAACGCUCGGCCUGCUGUGUGAAUUUCUGCACGUCCCCUGUGGUUAUUCAAAUUCACAGCCCUGAUGUGGCAGAGCAGGGAGGGAGGCAGAGAGGGCAGAGCCCUCAGAACAGCAAGGCUGGCAGGGCGGGCGGAGAGAGAGGCGUGGGGGCAGCAGAUUGAAGGGGACACUGGGGAGGGAGGCGGGGACCAGGGGCACAACGGCCCAGGGCCAUGGAGCCCAGGUCACGGGUGUUGCCCCUUUCCAGAACACUGUAAGUAACAGGUAUUUGUGCAAUCAAUUCUAUGAAGACUCUAUAUUAAAUUACAGUAAGAAUCAGCCACGUGGAGCAGAGAGGAUGGGGAAGUGGGUUAUCUUUCUCAUGGAGCCCAGGCAGGGGUGUGUCUAUACCCCAGGUUCUGGAACCACAGGGAGCUGGGGGGGGGGGGCGUGAAUCCGUAUCAGCGUCUGUGUGCCUGACACCGGGCAGCUUCCUCCAUGAACCCAGGGACUCAUCUUUCCACAGAGACACCAGGACCUGCCUAACUACUUGGAGAGGGCUAAAUGAGGUCCUGCACGCUGAUCAUCAGCGGAUCCAGCCGGCUGGUGGUAACCGGGAUGGCCCCGCUCUGUGUGUCAGCACCAGCACAUCAUGGGACAGAAAGGUCCCAGUCUCCCCCUCUGUGCAGAGAGGGUCCUCCACCAGGCACCUGGCGACUCCAGCAACUGAACUGCAGUCAGAAUCCCGCGGUUCUCAGCUAUGGGCCACUUCUCUUCCAAUAUCACACAUUGGAGAAAAGCAAACUGCUACCUCCAAAGCCAGACCCAUCUCGGACUCACUGCUGAAGUUGACUGAAGCCAUUUCUACCGGGCUCCUCCUCCACAUUUUGUCUCCAUUUCCCCAACGCCUUGGGUCGGCAAUGCCACCCAGCUGCCACACGGACAGCUCACAGACACACUCACAGCCACGUUUCCAUCCUUCUGCACGUGUGAGUCUUCCAGAGAGGCCAGGCCUGCCCCCUCCCCGCCCCCCGUCUCGCCUCCAUCCCCUUCCUUCCCUUACCUUGGGGCUGUGGGUUUUCUAGCCUCCUGCAAUCAUUGUUUGUGCCUCUUUCCACUGGUGUUCAACCCGAGGGACAGUUCUCCUCACCAAGCCAAUUUGAAUUAAUUUUGCGGGGACAAUUGCACAAGACAAUGUAUCAAUGGCUGUAUUAAAAUCAAGAUAGAUUGCACGGGCCCCGUCCUCCCUGUCCCUUCAUUCCGCAGUUUCCUCAAAGGCACAAUCGAGUGUGUCUGGCAUAAUUUGUUCUUUAUUAACCCAGACUGCUCAUUGCCUGCGCUUAUAAUUUUAGAAAGAUUUUUGGCGGUGUCUUAUUUCUCCAAUACUUUGCUUUAUUGUGCUUGGUGAUUGGAUCUCAGCGAUGAAGAUGACAACUUGCUUCCAGGCUUCAUUAACCACGUGGCCUUCAGGAAAGUAACGCGCCUCUCUCAGGCCCCGUGGUCCCAUCUAAAGUGGAACCAUCCUUAUUCCUCCAUUAGUGGUACUGGGGGACGCAUAGGAAGCUGUCGGUGUCAUGUUUCCAUUUCUGGAGCCAAGGUUGAGGUCACCUGUGCACGGGUUCCCC
ensembl:lncRNA